rfam:Ixodes scapularis strain Wikel colony gcontig_1108378229828, whole genome shotgun sequence.
UCCUGGUUAGCUCAGUUGCUAGAGCACUUCACUUUAAAUGGAGGGGUGCCUGGUUCGAUACCAGGUCCAGGCG